rnacentral:RNase_P_RNA from 1 species
CCAGACGGUCGGAUGAUCGCCCCUUCCUUCAGGUUGGGGAGGAAAGUCCGGGCUUCAGGGGAAAAGGGUGCCGGAUAACGUCCGGUCGGGGCGACUCGAAGGAAAGUGCCACAGAAAACAAACUACCUUCUCGUAAGGGAGGGAAAAGGUGAAAAGGUGCGGUAAGAGCGCACCGCGUCUUUGGCAACAAAGGCGGCACGGAAAACCCCACCCGAAGCAAAACCGAAUAGGAGCCGCAUAGCGCAUACCUGAUAUUCGUAUCAUAGGUGCGCGGCGCUUUCCCCGCGCGCGGCUCGGGUUGGUUGCUUGAGGCGUUUGGCAACAAACGUCCCAGAUGAAUGAUCGUCCAUUGCAGCAAUGCGAUGACAAAACCCGGCUUAUAGACCGUCUGGCGCU